UAGUCAGCUGGGCUAAAGAAAAAUAUGUAUUAUAAAGAUUACCUUAAUUACUGAAAACACAUCCUGGAGUAUUUCUGCUUUCGUGAAACGAACAGCCAAUAAAAAGUUUCUGGAUUUUGAAAGGCCCAAUUCACUAUGGUAUUGUAGUCCAUAGAGAAAAGAAGCCCCUGGCAUUUCCUUCUUUAUCAUAAUUAUGUUGCAUUUCAAUUAUUAUUCUAAUUAAUCAUUAAACAGGCACUUCAGGCUUUGCUAUGAUGGUAGAAUUGAUUUCCACAUUGCUUUGAUGUCCCAUGAACAUGACCUCGUCAGUGUAACUCUAACCUUGAGAUGCCUCUUCGUUUCCUUUUAGUAACUAGACACUAAAUCUCUCAGACACAUUCUGGAAUCCAAUGCUCUAUAUGUCUAAUGUGUUAGAAGCUCCAUUAGGAUGUAACAAGAUUUUAGCCACAUUCCCCGCAGCACUUUGGGGUACUGCUGCUUCAUGAGAUUUUUCUCUAAAGUAACCUUUCAAAGUCAGCCACAAAACCUCUUAUUCUAGAUCAUACUGGCAUCUGACCUUUGUAAACUUACAAGAAAAAAUAGGAAAAAGGAAGAUGCUAAGGGAGACACAGUUAUCUUUUUCAAAAUGCAGCUAAACCCACAAGCUACAGAGAUAUCAUGACCUAUAAAGUUCAGAGCUGUGUUGAUUCUUUCUAACAAUUACCCACAGCUAUUAUGAUUUCCUCCCAUCACUAAAACUGUCAUUGCUAAGAUUAUUGCCCCAGUUUGAGAAGGUAGAAGAUUUAACACGUAACUAAUAUGCAAAGGAUAGAGAGAAGAAGGGGAGAGGUUGAUAUGAUCCCUGUCCUUUCACACUGUUAAUAUGCCAGGUGAUAAAAUGUCUCAUUCACUCCGAAACAUUAUCACUAUACAGGCACUCCUUACAGUGUUUGUUCUCAUAUAUGUCUUCGUAUUUUUUUUCCUUUUAAAGUGGCUCUGAGAAACGGCU
rnacentral:lncRNA from 1 species